GUCCAAGAUAAAAACAUUGAAGGGCAACCAUCAUAUGUUUUCUCCAAAUGGCAACUGGGCUACCAGACGCCAACUGUGAUAAAUUCAGCCCUUCAGUAAAACUAUGUAUUCAGUAAAAAUUCUGUCCAAUCCAUGACGCUUCUUUUGGCAAUAUCUGAAAAUAUACAACAAACAGCAGAAAAAAUAUUCUAAAGGGUGGGAUAGGGUGGGUUUUUGUGUUCCUUCAGAGUUCAAAUCACGCAAUGAACAAAUCACGAAAAGCAUGCAAUUUUAUACCAAAUAAAAGCGGGAAAACCGCUUAUGAAAAAUGUAGGUUAACAAAAGACGCUUAAGUCCAUCAAAAUUAAAGAAAAGUUAACUCUAGUUUAGCAGACGAUACUCUCAAUUUAUUAAAUUGAUUUAAUGCUGAAUGAUUAAAUCUUAUUAUUAAAUAUUCGAAAUAAACCAACAGAAGUCAAUUUAGGAAUACGAUAUACCAGAUAAAAGAUAACCCAAAUUCGUUGAAAUCCCUCGUAAUAUUUCCAACGACUCCAGAUUACCUUCGUUAUACAAAUGUGAACAAAUUGUAAGACAAACUAAUAUAUGAUCAUAAUAAAAAACAACAAAUAGUAAGUUUGAAUUUUGGCAAUUUUUUGUCAUGGAUUUAUUAGGACAGUUCAACUAUGUAUCAACCGGCCAACGAAUUUGCAUUCAUCGACAAUUUCUCAUUAAUGUCCAAGAUAAAAACAUUGAAGGGCAACCAUCAUAUGUUUUCUCCAAAUGGCAACUGGGCUACCAGACGCCAACUGUGAUAAAUUCAGCCAAAUGCUAGCAAACUCCGUUUGUGAGCAUCGCCAAACAAAAUUUAUCAAUCCAUGACAAAAAAUUCACACUUAAACAAAUUCUGAAAUUACAUAGGUUUUUAAAUUCAACCAUAUCAAUUGAACGUAGUAGAUCAACCAUACUUACAACAGUUCAACGUAG
rnacentral:lncRNA from 1 species